UGGGUUCGAGCCCCACGUUGGGCG
rnacentral:piRNA from 7 species